rnacentral:lncRNA from 1 species
CUGCUCGAAACUUAGCAAGGGUUCUAACUCCAAAAAUAUGUGAUGUUGUGUUUGAAGAAGAUGGUGUGUUAAUUAACCUUAGUAAUCUUUUAUUAAGGCAUCUAUUCACAAGCAGCUCAAGUUCGAUUCAAAAUUGAAUAAGCAAAGCUCGAGCUUGGUUCAAUCAUAAACAAGCCGAGCAUGACCAAGCAGAGGUGUUUCAAUAAAUGCCCACAAAGUUACGAGCAUACCAAGCAAAACUUCCUUAUAUACAACACCAAAAUCACAAAACCAAAAUGCUUAGAAACAGAGAGAGACAGAGAAAAAGAAAAAAGAAAGAAAAGAAAAAGCACCUACAACUUUUCCCGUUACAACACUUACACCAUUUAACAACCCAAAUAGGUGAUCAAACGUAUCGAAGCUUUACGCAGAGACUUUUUUUGGCAUGGGGGGAGUAAGCACCCUAGCGGGGGACGUUUGGUGGCCUGGAAGACUGUUUGUAAGAGCAAACCACAAGGCGGAUUAGGAAUCCUGGAUGUAGAAAUUAUGAAUCGAGCGCUCCUAGCUAAAUGGUGGUGGAAGCUUCACACAACCCCACAGCUGCAGUGGAACAAGAUUAUUCGUGCUAUCUAUUACCAGAGAAGAAGGCCUCUGUGGGAGGGAAUAUCCUUCAGGCCACGCUCGUACUGGUGGAAGGGGAUCCUAAGCCUUAACGAUAUCUUUAAAUGGGGAACAGCCUAUAAGCUGGGUAACAGAAGCACCAUUAACUUCUGGGCCAAUCGUUGGUGUGGAGAAACCACCUUACAACAGUCGUUCCCAGAGGUUUAUGAUAGGACUGACCAAAAAAAUAUUUUAGUUAGGGAUUGCCUUGGUUGUGGUGAAUGGAACUGGUCAAAGAUCACGGGGAAUAGGACAAGAACUUUACAGAAUCUGAGGGCAGCCUUGUGAUGCUAAGAGCUAGAUUAUCUGACUAUAAAGUCGAGCAACGACUUGACACAUUAACGUGGAGGUGGAGUUCCAACAGCCAGUUCUCAGUCAGAUCGGUUUAUACCAUGUUGAAUGACGGGGGUACGAGGGACCCACGGAACAACAAGAUAUGGUCACUACGUAUCCUCCUAAAAGUAAAAGUGUUCAGCUGGCUUGUACUUAAGAAGAGACUCCUUACAGCGGGUAACCUUAUGAAGAGAGGAUGGUCUGGAGACAUAAGUUGUGUGCUGUGUGGAUCGGACGAGGAAACAGUUGACCAUCUGUUCACUAGGUGUGUUUUCUUCAAGUUCAUACUGAUACAGAGCGCGGACGACACUCAGAGCAGUGACCUGGAAGAUGACGUGCACACAUCUGGGAAUAGCGGAUGAUUAGGAGAGGUCUGCAGAUCAAGGAGAAAUGCCUAACUGAACUAGUUGCUAGCUGGUGGAUUGUUUGCAGGGUCAGGAACGAUUUGAUCUUUAGAAAGAUCCAGCCGAACCCAGUGCUGAUAGUCCACAGGAUUAAACAACAGAUGACGCACCGGGAAACCCUCCUUUCUUUGGUCUAGUUUGUUUGUUUGUUUGUUUUUUUUCUCCCUCUCUAUCAGAGGCCUCAGCUUCCUCACCCCUGUAGCCUAGUUCAUCUAUUCAAUGAAUGAAGCGGGUAGAACAACCCAUCCCUUCUCCACCUCCCCAGAUUUUACUCUUUUGUAUACCCUCCCCUGUAGUCAUUUUGAUUUACAAUAAACAUAGGAUUGAGAUGUUUUCUUUCCCCUUUUCCUUCUUAAUUGGCUCAUGGUUUACAAUAAAAAUCUCAAUGUCUUCCUGCUCGAAACUUAGCAAGGGUUCUAACUCCAAAAAUAUGUGAUGUUGUGUUUGAAGAAGAUGGUGUGUUAAUUAACCUUAGUAAUCUUUUAUUAAGGCAUCUAUUCACAAGCAGCUCAAGUUCGAUUCAAAAUUGAAUAAGCAAAGCUCGAGCUUGGUUCAAUCAUAAACAAGCCGAGCAUGACCAAGCAGAGGUGUUUCAAUAAAUGCCCACAAAGUUACGAGCAUACCAAGCAAAACUUCCUUAUAUACAACACCAAAAUCACAAAACCAAAAUGCUUAGAAACAGAGAGAGACAGAGAAAAAGAAAAAAGAAAGAAAAGAAAAAGCACCUACAACUUUUCCCGUUACAACACUUAACACCAUUUAACACAACCCAUCCCUUCUCCACCUUUCCAGAUUUUACUCUUUUGUAUA